GACGAACGCUGGCGGCGUGCUUAACACAUGCAAGUCGAGCGGUAAGGCCCCUUCGGGGGUACACGAGCGGCGAACGGGUGAGUAACACGUGAGCAACCUACCCUCAACUUUGGGAUAAGCCUCGGAAACGGGGUCUAAUACCGAAUAUCACUCCUUGUUUCAUGGCGGGGGGUUGGAAGUUCUGGCGGUUGGGGAUGGGCUCGCGGCCUAUCAGCUUGUUGGUGGGGUAAGGGCCUACCAAGGCGUCGACGGGUAGCCGGCCUGAGAGGGCGACCGGCCACACUGGGACUGAGACACGGCCCAGACUCCUACGGGAGGCAGCAGUGGGGAAUAUUGCGCAAUGGACGAAAGUCUGACGCAGCAACGCCGCGUGAGGGAUGACGGCCUUCGGGUUGUAAACCUCUUUCAGCAGGGACGAAGCGAGAGUGACGGUACCUGCAGAAGAAGGACCGGCCAACUACGUGCCAGCAGCCGCGGUAAGAC
rnacentral:rRNA from 1 species